GGGCCCCUUCAGUGUGGUGCGCCGCUGUGUCCACAAGACGACGGGCCAGCAGUUCGCGGUCAAAGUCGUCGACGUUGCCAAGUUUACCUCUUGUCCUGGACUCGGCACCGAAGACCUGAAGCGAGAAGCCACAAUCUGCCACAUGCUCAAACAUCCGCACAUUGUUGAACUUUUAGAAACAUACAGCUCGGAGGGAAUGCUCUACAUGGUGUUUGAGUACAUGGAAGGGGCAGACCUGUGCUUUGAAAUUGUGAAAAGAGCCACUGCCGGAUUUGUGUACAGCGAAGCGGUGGCCAG